AUUGAACGCUGGCGGCAGGCCUAACACAUGCCAGUCGAGCGGAAGAAGGGAGCUUGCUUCUGGAUUCAGCGGCGGACGGGGGUGUAUUGCCUAGGAAUCUGCUUGGUAGUGGGGGAUAAUGUCUGGAAACGGGCGCUACUACCGCCUACGUCCUGCGGGAGCAAGUGGGGGAUGUUUGGACAUCACGCUAUCAGAUGAGCGUAGGUCGGAUUAGCUAGUUGGUGGGGUAAAGGCCUGCUAAGGCGACGAUCCGUAACUGGCCUGAGAGGAUGAUCAGUCACACUGGAACGGGAACACGCUCCAGACUCCUACGGGAGGCAGCAGUGGGGAAUAUUGGACAGUAGGCGAAAGCCUGAUCCAGCCAUGCGGCGUGUGUGAAGAAGGUCUUCGGAUUGUAAAGCACUUUAAGUUGGGAGGAAGGGCAGUAAGUUAAUACCUUGCUGUUUUGACGUUACCAACAAAAUAAGCACCGGCUAACUUCGUG
rnacentral:rRNA from 1 species